UCAGCAUCCUUCUCCCUAUAUACAGUGGGUCCGUCAUGGGCACAUGUCCAAACCAUCUCAAUCUUGCCUAUCUGACUUUGUCUCCAAUCUGUCCCACCUGAGCUGUCCCUCUGAUAUGUUCAUUCCGAAUCCUGCCCAUUCUUGUCACUCUCAAUGAGAAUCGCAACAUCUUCAGCUCUACCUCCUCCAGCUCUGCCUCC